rnacentral:rRNA from 1 species
CUACGGGAGGCAGCAGUGGGGAAUUUUGCGCAAUGGGCGAAAGCCUGACGCAGCAACGCCGCGUGUGUGAUGAAGGUCUUCGGAUUGUAAAGCACUUUCGACCGGGACGAAACCGUAUUGGCUAACAUCCAAUGCUCUGACGGUACCGGGAGAAGAAGCACCGGCUAACUCUGUGCCAGCAGCCGCGGUAAUACAGAGGGUGCAAGCGUUGUUCGGAAUUAUUGGGCGUAAAGCGCGUGUAGGCGGCUUUGCAAGUCGGGUGUGAAAUCCCUCGGCUUAACCGAGGAAGUGCGCCCGAAACUGCAGAGCUUGAGUACCGGAGAGGAUGGUGGAAUUCCCCAAGUAGAGGUGAAAUUCGUAGAUAUGGGGAGGAACACCGGUGGCGAAGGCGACCAUCUGGACGGAUACUGACGCUGAGACGCGAAAGCGUGGGGAGCAAACAGGAUUAGAUACCCCGGUAGU